AAUGGGGGCAACCCUGAUCCAGCCAUGCCGCGUGAGUGAAGAAGGCCUUCGGGUUGUAAAGCUCUUUCGGCCGGGAAGAAAUCGCACAGGUUAAUACCUUGUGUGGAUGACGGUACCGGAAUAAGAAGCACCGGCUAACUACGUGCCAGCAGCCGCGGUAAUACGUAGGGUGCGAGCGUUAAUCGGAAUUACUGGGCGUAAAGCGUGCGCAGGCGGUUUCGUAAGACAGAUGUGAAAUCCCCGGGCUCAACCUGGGAACUGCAUUUGUGACUGCGAGGCUAGAGUAUGGCAGAGGGGGGUGGAAUUCCACGUGUAGCAGUGAAAUGCGUAGAGAUGUGGAGGAACACCGAUGGCGAAGGCAGCCCCCUGGGCCAAUACUGACGCUCAUGCACGAAAGCGUGGGGAGCAAA
rnacentral:rRNA from 1 species